rnacentral:antisense_RNA from 1 species
GGCGCUUGAGGCUUUUUGCCUCAUGAAGCUAUGUGGCAGAAAGAAGAAAGCCCCGAAGGUAAUUUUCCAAUUAACCAACGAGGCCCACUCUUAUGUCAGACAACAUCAGAGUAGCCUCUUACCCGCCGAAAGGCAAGGAGAAGAAGGCCAU